AACGAACGCUGGCGGCAUGCCUAACACAUGCAAGUCGAACGAGAUCUUCGGGUCUAGUGGCGCACGGGUGCGUAACGCGUGGGAAUCUGCCCUUUGGUUCGGAAUAACAGUUGGAAACGACUGCUAAUACCGGAUGAUGACGAAAGUCCAAAGAUUGAUCGCCAGAGGAUGAGCCCGCGUAGGAUUAGCUAGUUGGUGUGGUAAAGGCGCACCAAGGCGACGAUCCUUAGCUGGUCUGAGAGGAUGAUCAGCCACACGGGGACUGAGACACGGCCCAGACUCCUACGGGAGGCAGCAGUGGGGAAUAUUGGACAAUGGGCGAAAGCCUGAUCCGGCAAUGCCUCGUGAGUGAUGAAGGCCUUAGGGUUGUAAAGCUCUUUUACCCGGGAUGAUAAUGACAGUACCGGGAGAAUAAGCUCCGGCUAACUCCGUGCCAGCAGCCGCCGUAA
rnacentral:rRNA from 1 species